rnacentral:rRNA from 1 species
UACGUAGGGUGCAAGCGUUGUCCGGAAUUAUUGGGCGUAAAGAGCUCGUAGGCGGCCUGUCGCGUCGGCUGUGAAAACCCGGGGCUCAACCCCGGGCCUGCAGUCGAUACGGGCAGGCUAGAGUCCGGCAGGGGAGACUGGAAUUCCUGGUGUAGCGGUGAAAUGCGCAGAUAUCAGGAGGAACACCGGUGGCGAAGGCGGGUCUCUGGGCCGAAACUGACGCUGAGGAGCGAAAGCGUGGGGAGCAAACAGG